GCAGCUGGAUCCUAUCUAAGUAUUUUGAGAUAGAUGACUGGCGAAGGAAGUAUGAUUCCUAUGUUAGCGGCAACACGUCUAAUGGUCAGCAGACCUCAAAGAGUUUUCAUGUAUGGUUGCGCGACGAGUUGAUAGAAGCCAAAGAGACUGAUUCAACACUUUGGAGACUCGUGCAAGGACCCC